AACACCAUAAGGGCGCGGCCAUAUUCUCUGCCGGACAGCACCACGUUACGGAAGCUGUGCGCUGUGUCUGCGCCUUGUUGACUGUUCACUGAAACUGGCUUCCAAGUUUAUUCAGAGCAUGCGCCAUAUCAACAGCCUACAAAGGGGAGGUGCUAGAAGUCGGACCGGAAGUGGAAGUGGUCCUCCAAGGCUUUUUUGCCGCUGGUGUCAGGAGUAUUUUCAUAUUCCAAUACCGAUAAAUCUUUGAGGUUUCUAGGUGUCUCUGGGGAGCCCCUGGGCCAGAUCUUCCUCCAGACUCCAGCCCAUCUCUUCAGAGCAGUUCUGCUUGAGUUCACAGAUGACUGCCAAGCUUCAGACACCCUAGAGAAAAAGGGUUGAGACCCAAUGUGGCCAUGCCAGCUAAUUGGACCUCACCUCAGAAAUCCUCAGCCCUGGCUCCAGAGGAUCAUGGCAGCUCCUAUGAGGGAUCAGUGUCCUUCAGGGAUGUGGCUAUCGAUUUCAGCAGAGAGGAAUGGCGGCACCUGGACCCUUCUCAGAGAAACCUGUACCGGGAUGUGAUGCUGGAGACCUACAGCCACCUGCUCUCAGUAGGAUAUCAAGUUCCUGAAGCAGAGGUGGUCAUGUUGGAGCAAGGAAAGGAACCAUGGGCACUGCAGGGUGAGAGGCCACGUCAGAGCUGCCCAGGAGAGAAAUUAUGGGACCAUAAUCAAUGUAGAAAAAUCCUCAGUUAUAAACAAGUAUCCUCUCAACCUCGAAAAAUGUAUCCUGGGGAGAAAGCUUAUGAAUGCGCCGAAUUUGAAAAGAUAUUCACCCAGAAGUCACAGCUCAAAGUACACCUGAAAGUUCUUGCAGGAGAAAAGCUCUAUGUAUGCAUUGAAUGUGGGAAAGCUUUUGUACAGAAGCCAGAAUUUAUUAUACACCAGAAAACCCAUAUGAGAGAGAAACCCUUUAAAUGCAAUGAAUGUGGAAAAUCCUUUUUUCAAGUGUCAUCCCUCUUCAGGCAUCAGAGAAUUCAUACCGGAGAGAAACUCUAUGAAUGCAGCCAAUGUGGGAAAGGCUUCUCUUAUAACUCAGAUCUCAGUAUACAUGAGAAAAUUCAUACUGGAGAGAGACACCAUGAAUGCACUGACUGUGGCAAAGCAUUCACACAAAAGUCCACACUCAAGAUGCAUCAGAAAAUCCAUACAGGCGAGAGAUCCUACAUCUGUAUUGAGUGCGGACAGGCCUUCAUCCAGAAGACCCAUUUGAUUGCACACCGAAGAAUUCAUACUGGAGAAAAACCAUAUGAGUGCAGUAACUGUGGCAAAUCCUUCAUUUCCAAGUCACAACUUCAGGUACAUCAACGUGUUCACACAAGAGUGAAGCCCUAUAUAUGUACCGAAUAUGGGAAGGUCUUCAGCAAUAAUUCCAACCUCAUUACACAUAAGAAAGUUCAAAGUAGAGAGAAAUCUUCCAUAUGUACUGAGUGUGGGAAGGCCUUUACCUACAGGUCAGAGUUGAUUAUUCAUCAGAGAAUUCACACUGGAGAGAAACCUUAUGAAUGCAGUGAGUGUGGAAAAGCCUUCACUCAGAAGUCAGCACUCACAGUGCAUCAGAGAAUUCAUACAGGAGAAAAAUCAUAUAUAUGCAUGAAAUGUGGACUGGCCUUCAUUCAGAAGGCACACUUGAUUGCACAUCAAAUAAUUCAUACUGGAGAGAAACCUUAUAAAUGCGGUCACUGUGGGAAAUUGUUUACUUCCAAGUCACAACUCCAUGUUCAUAAACGAAUUCACACAGGAGAAAAGCCCUAUAUGUGCAAUAAAUGUGGGAAGGCAUUCACCAACCGGUCAAAUCUCAUUACACAUCAGAAAACUCAUACAGGAGAGAAAUCUUAUAUAUGUUCCAAAUGUGGAAAGGCCUUCACCCAGAGGUCAGACUUGAUUACACAUCAGAGAAUCCAUACUGGGGAGAAGCCUUAUGAAUGCAAUACUUGUGGAAAAGCCUUCACUCAGAAGUCACACCUCAAUAUACAUCAGAAAAUUCACACUGGAGAGAGACAGUAUGAAUGCCAUGAAUGUGGGAAAGCCUUCAACCAGAAAUCAAUACUCAUUGUUCAUCAGAAAAUUCAUACAGGAGAGAAACCCUAUGUAUGCACUGAGUGUGGAAGAGCUUUCAUCCGCAAGUCAAACUUUAUUACUCAUCAAAGAAUUCAUACCGGAGAGAAGCCUUAUGAAUGCAGUGACUGUGGGAAGUCCUUUACCUCCAAGUCUCAGCUCCUGGUGCAUCAGCCAAUUCACACAGGAGAGAAACCCUAUGUGUGUGCCGAGUGCGGGAAGGCCUUUAGUGGCAGGUCAAAUCUCAGUAAGCACCAGAAAACUCAUACCGGAGAAAAGCCCUACAUUUGUUCUGAAUGUGGGAAGACCUUUCGACAGAAGUCAGAGUUGAUUACACAUCACAGAAUUCAUACUGGAGAGAAACCGUAUGAGUGCAGUGACUGUGGGAAGUCUUUCACUAAAAAAUCACAGCUCCAAGUGCAUCAACGAAUUCACACUGGAGAGAAGCCUUACGUGUGUGCUGAGUGUGGGAAGGCCUUUACUGACAGGUCAAAUUUGAAUAAACAUCAGACAACACACACUGGAGACAAACCCUACAAGUGUGGCAUCUGUGGGAAAGGCUUCGUUCAGAAAUCAGUGUUCAGUGUCCAUCAGAGCAGCCACGCUUGAGAGAAACAGUGUGAGAAAACCCCACUGAGGGUUGGGUCUGAUUGUACACUGUUGCAUGCAUGCAGCAGAAAAAUAUGUAUAUUAUUGUAAAUAGAAAUGACCACAUCAGAAUGUCACACAUGGCUGUUCUGGAGAGGGCCUCUGAGAAGGCACUGAAUGAGGCGAGGGACCCUUCCUACAUUGUCACCAUCCCCAGUAAACCUUGGGUCAUUAUUCAUACUGACAAGGAACCGAGUCAAUUUGGUGAAUAGGAAAAGCCUUCUCACGAAAACUACAAUGGAAUACUGUUACCAAAUUCUUCAUAAGAAAGAUCAUAUUAUGGGAAUGAUAAUCCUGUUUACUGUGGAUUAGGUAUAGUGCCAACAGUUUGAAUGAUAAAACAACAUAAUACGUAGUUAUUUUGAUAGUGAUGAAUCCUAAGUUAUGUGAGUUGUUCGUUGUGGAACACAUUGUGUAACAGACUCCUGGGUGUUUUUCUUUCUCGCUCGAAUCUACCACAGUUGGUCAUAUCCAACCCUCAUUCAGUAUUUCUAUCAAGAAAGAGAUGCUACAAAAAAAAAAGAAAAAACCUUUAUGUAUACAGAUGUAAACCUCAGAAUGUAUGUUGAGUCCCCACUGUCAUCUAGCACCAAGACUUGCACCCCCUCAUUAUCUACCAUGACUGUCUCUCAGCCUCACAGGCCCUCAGCACUUUGUGUUUUGACCCCCAGCACUGUGUCUUGUGAACUCCCAUCACCUUCAAGAAAGCUUCCGAGGAAAAGCCGUAUGAGGACGUAGCAAGAAGGCAGCCCUCACCAAAAGCGGACCGUGCUGGCACCUUACCUUGGACUUUCCAGCUUCCAGAACUGGGUUCAACAGGAUGGUCUUGGGAUCCUAGGCAUCAUGGAGGGCUGAAGAGGCUGAAGAAACAUCAAGGGGAGCCCCAGAAAUUCACCACGGGAUCCCAGCCUCAGGCCCGCCUAGACAGUGUGCGGGGUGAAGGUACGCUCGAGCAUGGUCAUUGAGGACAAGUCGACGAGAGAUUCCUGAGUAUGUCUAUGGUCACCCUUUGCGAAACGAGAGACAAAUUAAUUGACUGUUACACAUUUCUGCAAGCAGAGGUUGCCAACGCAGGACUGGCAAUAGCAUCUGGUAAGAUUCAAACCUCUACUCCUUUUCAUUAUUUAGGGAUGCAGAUAGAAAAUAAAAAAAUUAAGCCACAAAAAAUAGAAAUAAGAAAAGGCACAUUAAAAACAUUAAAUGAUUUUCAAAAAUUGCUAGGAGACAUUAAUUGGAUUUGGCCAACUCUAGGUAUUCCUACUUAUGCCAUGUCAAAUUUGUUCUCUAUCUUAAGAGGAGACCCAGACUUAAAUAGUAAAAGAAUAUUAACCCGAGAGGCAACAAAAGAAAUUAAAUUAGUGGAAGAAAAAAUUCUGUCAGUGCAAAUAAAUAGAAUAGAUCCCUUAGCCCCACUCCAACUUUUGAUUUUUGCUACUACACAUUCUCCAACAGGCAUCAUUGUUCAAAAUACUGAUCUUGUGGAGUGGUCAUUCCUUCCUCACAGUACAAUUAAGACUUUUACAUUAUUCUUGGCUCAAAUAGCUACAUUAAUUGGUCAGGCAAGAUUACGAAUAAUAAAAUUGUGUGGAAAUGACCCAGACAAAAUAGUUGUCCCUUUAACCAAGGAACAAGUUAGAUAAGCCUUUAUCAAUUCUCGUGCAUGGCAGAUUGGUCUUGCUGAUUUUGUGGGAAUUACUGAUAAUCAUUACCCAAAAACAAAAAUCCUCCAGUUUUUAAAAUUGACUACUUGGAUUUUACCUAAAAUUACCAGUCAUGGACCUUUAGAAAAUGCUCUGACAGUAUAUACUGAUGGUUCCAACAAUGGAAAAGCAGCUUACACAGAGCCAAAAGAGCAAGUAAUCAAAACUCAGUAUCAAUUGGCUCAAAGAGCAGAGUUGGUUGCAGUCACUACAGUGUUACAAGAUUUUAAUCAACCUAUUAAUAUUGUAUCAGAUUCUGCAUAUGUAGUACAGGCUACAAAGGAUGUUAAGACAGCUCUUAUUAAAUACAGCAUGGAUGAUUAGUUAAACCAGCUGUUCAAUUUAUUACAACAAACAGUAAGAAAAAGAAAUUUCCCAUUUUAUAUUACUCAUAUUUGAGCACACACUAAUUUAACAGGGUCUUUGACUAAAGCAAAUGAACAAGCUGACUUACUGGUAUCAUCUGCAUUCAUAAAAGCACAAGAACUUCAUGCUUUGACCCAUGUAAAUGCAGCAGGAUUAAAAAACAAAUUUGGUGUCACAUGGAAACAGGCAAAAGAUACUGUACCACAUUGCACCCAGUGUCAAGUCCUACACCUGCCCACUCAAGAGGCAGGAGUUAAUCCCAGAGGUCUGUGUCCUAAUGCGUUAUGGCAAAUGGAUGUCACACAUGUACCUUCAUUUGGAAGAUUAUCAUAUGUUCAUGUAACAGUUGAUACUUAUUCACAUUUCAUAUGGGCAGCUUGCCAGACAGGAAAAAGUACUUCCCAUGUUAAAAAACAUUUAUUAUCUUAUUUUGCUGUAAUGGGAGUUCCAGAAAAAAUCAAAACUAACAAUGGACCAGGAUACUGUAGUAAAGCUUUCCAAAAAUUCUUAAAUCAGUGGAAAAUUACACAUACAACAGGAAUUCCCUAUAAUUCCCAAGGACAGGCCAUAGUUGAAAGAACUAAUAGAACACUCAAAACUCAAUUAGUUAAACAAAAAGAAGGGGGAGACAGUAAGGAGUGUACCACUCCUCGGAUGCAACUUAAUCUAGCACUCUAUACUUUAAAUUUUUUAAACAUUUAUAGAAAUCAGACUACUACUCCUGCAGAACAACAUCUUACUGGUAAAAAGAAUAGCCCACAUGAAGGAAAACUGAUUUGGUGGAAAGACAACAACAAUAAGACAUGCGAAAUAGGGAAGGUGGUAAUGUGGAGGAGAGGUUUUGCUUGUGUUUUACCAGGAGAAAAUCAGCUUCCUGUUUGGAUACCCACUAGACAUUUGAAGUUCUACAAUGAACCUGUCAGAGAUGCAAAGAAAAGCACCUCCAUGGAGACAGAAACACUGCAAUCAAGCACCAUCAACUCACAAGAUAAAAUGGUGAUGUCAGAAGAAUAGAUGAAGUUGCCAUUCACCAAGAAGGCAGAGCCGCCGACUUGGGCACAAUUAAAGAAGCUGACACAGUUAGCUAAAAAAGGCCUUGAGAACACAAAGGCGACACAAACUCCAGAGAGUAUGCUGCUUGCAGCUUUGAUGAUUGUAUCAACGGUGGUAAGUCUCCCCAUGCCUGUAGGAGCAGCUGCAGCUAAUUAUACCUACUGGGCCUGUGUGCCUUUCCCGCCCUUAAUUCAGGCAGUCACAUGGAUGGAUAAUCCUAUUGAAGUAUAUGUUAAUAAUAGUGUAUGGGUACCUGGCCCCACAGAUGAUUACUGCCCUGCCAAACCUGAGGAAGAAGGAAUGAUGAUAAAUAUUUCUACUGGGUAUCGUUAUCCUCCUAUUUGUCUAGGGAGAACACCAGGAUGUUUAAUGCCUACAAUCCAAAAUUGGUUGGUAGAAGUACUUACUGUCAGUACCACCAGUAGAUUCACUUAUCACAUGGUAAGCAGAAUGUCACUCAGGCCACAGGUAAAUUACUUACAGGACUUUUCUUACCAAAGAUCAUUAAAAUUUAGGCCUAAAGGGAAACCUUGCCCCAAGGAAAUUCCCAAAGUAUCAAAAGACACAGAAGUUUUAGUUUAGGAAGAAUGUGUGGCCAAUAGUGUGGUGAUAUUACAAAAUGAUGAAUUUGGAACUAUUACAGAUUGGGCACCUCGAGGUCAAUUCUACCACAAUUGCACAGGACAAACUCAGUCAUGUCCCAGUGCACAAGUGAGUCCAACUGUUGAUAGUGACUUAACAGAAAGUUUAGACAAACAUAAGCACAAAAAAUUACAGUCUUUCUACCCUUGGGAAUGGGGAGAAAAAGGAAUCUCUACUCCAAGACCAAAAAUAAUAAGUCCUGUUUCUGGUCCUGAACAUCCAGAAUUAUGGAGGCUUACUGUGGCCUCAUACCGCAUUAGAAUUUGGUCUGGAAAUCAAGCUAUAGAAACAGGAGAUCAUAAGCCAUUUUAUACUAUCGACCUAAAUUCAAGUCUAACGGUUCCUUUAGAAAGUUGUAUAAAGCGCCCUUAUAUGCUAGUUGUAGGAAAUAUAGUUAUUAAACCAGACUCCCAAACUAUAUAACCUGUGAAAAUUGCAGAUUGUUUACUUGCAUUGAUUCAACAUUCAAUUGGCAGCACCGUAUUCUGCUAGUGAGGGCAAGGGAAGGCGUGUGGAUCCCUGUGUCCAAGGACCGACCGUGGGAGGCCUCGCCAUCCGUCCAUAUUUUGACUGAAGUAUUAAAAGGCGUUUUAAAUGAUCCAAAAGAUUUAUUUUUACUUUAAUUGCAGUGAUUAUGGGAUUAAUCGCAGUCACAACUACAGCCGCUGUGGCAGGAGUUGCGUUGCACUCUUCUGUUCAGACAGUAAACUUUGUUAAUGAUUGGCAAAAGAAUUCUACAAGAUGGUGGAAUUCACAAUCUGGUAUUGAUCAAAAAUUGGCAAAUCAAAUUAAUGAUCUUAGACUGUCAUUUGGAUGGGAGAUAGGCUCAUGAGCUUAGAACAUCAUUUCCAGUUACAGUGUUACUGGAAUACGUCAGAUUUUUGUAUUACACCUGGAGUUUAUAAUGAGUCUGAGCAUCACUGGGACAUGGUUAGAUGCUGUCUACAGGGAAGAAAAGAUAAUCUCACUUUAGACAUUUCCAAAUUAAAAGAACAAAUUUUUGAAGGAUCAAAAGCCCAUUAAAUUUGGUACCAGGAACUGAGGCAAUCAUGGAGUUGCUGAUGGUCUCACAAAUCUUAACCCUGUCACUUGGGUUAAGACCAUCGGAAGUUCUACUAUUGUAAAUUUCCUAUUAAUCCUUGUGUGCCUGUUCUGUCUGUUGUUAGUCUGCAGGUGUACCCAACAGCUCCGAAGACACAGCGACCAUCGAGAACGGGCCAUGAUGACGAUGGCGGUUUUGUCCAAAAGAAAAGGGGGAAAUGUGGGGAAAAGGGAGAUCAGACUGUUACUGUGUCUAUGCAGAAAUAAGUAGACAUAAGAAACUCCGUUUUGUUCUGUACCAAGAAAAUUCUUCUGCCUUGAGAUGCUGUUAAUCUGUAACCCUAGCCCCAACCCUGUGCUUGCAGAGACAUGUGCUGUGUUGACUCAAGGUUUAAUGGAUUUACCAAAGGGCUAUGCAGGAUGUACUUUGUUAAAAAAAAAAAGUGCUUGAAGGCAGUAUGCUUGUUAAAAGUCAUCACCAUUCUCUAAUCUCAAGUACCCAGGACACAGUACACUGCGGAAGGCCACAGGGACCUCUGCCUGGGAAAGCCAGGUAUUGUCCAAGAUUUCUCCCCAUGUGAUAGCCUGAGAUAUGGCCUCAUGGGAAGGGUAAGACCUCCCAGCCCGACAUCCCCCAGCCUGACACCCGUAAAGGGUCUGUGCUGAGGAGGAUUAGUAAAAGAGGAAGGCCUCUUUGCAGUUCAGAUAAGAGGAAGGCAUCUGUCUCCUGCUCGUCCCUGGGCAAUAGAAUGUCUCAGUGUAAAACCCAAUUGUAUGUUCUAUUUACUGAGAUAGGAGAAAACCGCCUUAGGGCUGGAGGUGAGACAUGCUAGUGGUAAUACUGCUCUUUAAUGCACCGAGAUGUUUGUAUACAUGCACAUCAAGGCACAGCACCUUUUCUUAACCUUGUUUAUGACACAGAGACCUUUGUUUACAUGUUUUCCUGCUAACCCUCUCCCCACUAUUACCCUAUUGUCCUGCCACAUCCCCCUCUCCGAGAUGGUAGAGAUAAUGAUCAAUAAAUACUGAGGGAACUCAGAGACCAGUAAGCACCGGUCCCCUGGGCCCACUUUUCUUUCUCCA